ensembl:lncRNA
GUAAGGGUUAGGGUUAGGUUUAGGGUUAGGGGUUAGGGUUAGGGUUAGGGGUUAGGGGUUAGGGGUUAGGGGUUAGGGUUAGGGGUUAGGGUUAGGGGUUAGGGUUAGGGUUAGGGGUUAGGGUUGGGGUUAGGGUUAGGGUUUAGGGUUAGGGGUUAGGGUUAGGGUUAGGGUUUAGGGUUAGGGGUUAGGGUUAGGGUUAGGGGUUAGGGUUAGGGGUUAGGGUUAGGGGUUAGGGGUUGGGGUUAGGGUUAGGGUUAGGGGUUAGGGUUAGGGUUAGGGGUUAGGGUUGGGGUUAGGGUUUAGGGUUUAGGGUUAGGGUUAGGGGUUAGGGGUUAGGGUUAGGGUUAGGGUUAGGGGUUAGGGGUUAGGGUUGGGGUUAGGGUUAGGGGUUAGGGUUAGGGUUAGGGUUAGGGGGUUAGGGUUAGGGUUAGGGGGGGUUAGGGUUAGGGUUAGGGUUAGGGGGGGGUUAGGGUUAGGGUUAGGGGUUAGGGUUAGGGGUUAGGGUUAGGGUUAGGGGUUAGGGUUAGGGUUAGGGUUAGGGUUAGGGUUAGGGUUAGGGUUAGGGUUAGGGUUAGGGUUAGGGUUAGGGUUAGGGUUAGGGUUAGGUUUUGAAUAUAAUUGUGGUUUCUAGUUUUGAGUCGGUUGAUCCACUUCCAUCUCUGACACGUGGAAACCGGAGGGGGGAAGGGAGGGGUUGCACUCCACAUCAUAUACGCGCGGGUCGGAGGGUACGGGCGCGGCCGGCCAAAGUCGCAGGCCCCAUGGUAGCCCACUUGUAGAUUAACCCGUUGGUUGGGUUAAAGGACUGUCUGUCUGUAGGGUUAGGGUUAGGUAUGGUUUUAGAAUGGUUAAGGUUAGGGUUUAGGGUUAGGGUAAGAUAUGGUUUUUUGAGAGGGGUUAAGGUUAGGGUUAAGUUUAGGUAUGGGUUUUUGGGAUGGUUAAGGUUAGGGUUAGGGUUAGGGUAAGGUAUAGAAAAGGUUAAGUUUAGGUAGGUCUGUCAACUCAACUUAGGAUCAGGCAAAGCCCUUGAGUUGCGUCCCUUAUGCAGGUCCGGUCCUCGGUUGGUUGCCAUGUGUCCAUGUCGAGUGGUAUGGUCAUGAUGUCCAGGUCCGCUAUGUCAACGGAGGUGGAAAGCAUAGUGCAACCUAGGAGUUUUUACUCUCUUUCGGAUCCUUCUUCUUUAGUUCCAUGUUGUCUAUGCAUCCACUUCAGUGUUCGUCAGUCUUUGGUCCUGGAUGUUUUCAAUCAUGUGUAUGAUUGGGAGUUAUUCCCUUCCAGGAUCCUAAUUCCAAAUCAACCCAUGUCUAGUCGAAUCCAGCUGGUCUGUAUGGGUAUACUCGGCGUAGGAUCAGGCAAAACCAUCGAGUUGCGUACCUUGUGCAGGUCCGGACCUCAGUCGGUUGCCAUGUGUCCCUGUCAAGUGGUCAGUCUAUAACAGCCAGUGGUUUGGGCAGACAAAAACUCAGAAGGCGAGCCCUCUAUACGGUUGUCAUGCAUCCGCCCCUGGAGUCACGUCCUGUGUUUCGGUCAGUGUAUGGAGGGUUUAGAAACCGGCAAACCUUCUCUGGCUUACGUAUGAAACGUCCGGCAGUAGUAGAAGUUAAUUGGGUGUUUCCAUCCCCACCAUCUCAGUCGUGGGUAAUUCAGAGGUUUUGGGUAAUAGUGACCAGUGGAAUUACUCCCUUCCAGGAUCGUAACGUUUCCAGAGGUAUAUCAUCCCUAGACAGUGAAUUGGUUCGUAGUCCAAGUAAAAAAUGGUUCGGUUGUCCAGGCUAAGUGCGGCGGGGUAAGGGGUCCCCCAGUGGGAAAUUCCUCUGCGGGGUCCGAUACCUCGCCAGACAUUAUCUGGGCACCCCAGGGGUUAUUCGGCAGACGCGAUCCUCCAGCCGCAGCGCAUAACCCAAAAGCCCCUCUUUUGGGUAUCCCAACCCGCUAGGAGGAAACACGCGCUACUGAACCUACUGCCAAUCCAGAUCUAAUCUGGGGUAGAUAGUGGUCCAGCGCGUUACGUGAGUCUCCCGUGUGUAAGGGGGCUGGGAGGGUUGAGCCGAUGGGUCUGCCAACAGGCCCCAGAGGGGUCCCGAAGGAGUCCGGUCUACCAUUUCCUCCCUUCUUCUUGCUUGGUGUAUGGUUGGGCCUGAUUGCUUAGGGUCUGCUCGCUGCGGGGGAGUCGACAAAACCGUGCCCCCAGAGUAGUUGGAGAAAAAAGGUUCUCGUCCGUUGGGGGUGCUGGUGGGUGUCUCCAAAAAUAUUUUAGAAGGAUGGUAGGUUGGUGAAGGUUUUUUUUUUAUUUUUUUUAUUUUUUUUUUUAAAUUUGGUCUAUUUGUGUUCUAUUUUAUUGUUUCUUUUGGUCAAGGGUCCAUGGUCAUGGUAACCCUGAGUUCAAGAGACUUUGAAAAUGAAAUAAUAUAUAUAUUUAUGUACAUAUGUAUUGGUUUCUAGUUUUGAGUCGGUUGAUCCACUUCCAUCUCUGACACGUGGAAACCGGAGGGGGGAAGGGAGGGGUUGCACUCCACAUCAUAUACGCGCGGGAGGGUUAGGGUAAGGUAUAGAAAAGGUUAAGUUUAGGUAGGUCUGUCAACUCAACUUAGGAUCAGGCAAAGCCCUUGAGUUGCGUACCUUAUGCAGGUCCGGUCCUCGGUUGGUUGCCAUGUGUCCAUGUCGAGUGGUAUGGUCAUGAUGUCCAGGUCCGCUAUGUCAACGGAAGUGGAAAGCAUAGUGCAACCUAGGAGUUUACUUUCUUUCGGAUCCUUCUUUUUAGCUCCAUGUUGUCUAUGUAUUCACUUCAGUGUU